rnacentral:rRNA from 1 species
CGUAGGGCGCGAGCGUUGUCCGGAAUUAUUGGGCGUAAAGGGCUCGUAGGCGGUUUGUCGCGUCUGCUGUGAAAGACCGGGGCUUAACUCCGGGGUUGCAGUGGGUACGGGCAGACUAGAGUGCGGUAGGGGUAGCUGGAAUUCCUGGUGUAGCGGUGGAAUGCGCAGAUAUCAGGAGGAACACCGAUGGCGAAGGCAGGUUACUGGGCCGUUACUGACGCUGAGGAGCGAAAGCAUGGGGAGCGAACAGGAUU